rnacentral:lncRNA from 1 species
CGUUUGCAAAGAGAUUUGAAGAGAACUGUAGAUGCCAGGCUGAAGUUAAGCGAGGAGCUGAGUGGUGGUAGAUUGAAGCCCAAGCCUAUUGAUGUACAAGUUAUUACACACCAUAUGCAGUGGUAUGCAGUCUGGUUUGGAGGGUCAAUGCUGGCUUCCACGCCUGAGUUCUACCAAGUAUGCCACACCAAAAAGGAUUAUGAAGAAAUUGGACCUAGCAUUUGUCGUCACAAUCCAGUGUUUGGAGUCAUGUCCUAA